rfam:Candidatus Pelagibacter sp. IMCC9063, complete genome.
GGGGAAUUGGUAGUAGGUGGAGGUUGCGCUAAUCCGGUCAGAUUCGAAAGAAAGCAGCCGUAACGUUAAUUUUUCAGGUUGUUAUUCAGUUCCCCGUU